GCCCUUUGGGUCCACCUCCCACCGUGUUUAUUUACCUUGUUGCUUCGGCGGGCCCGCCUUUACUGGCCGCCGGGGGGCUCACGCCCCCGGGCCCGCGCCCGCCGAAGACACCCCCGAACUCUGUCUGAAGAUUGAAGACUGAGUGAAAAUAUAAAUUAUUUAAAACUUUCAACAACGGAUCUCUUGGUUCCGGCAUCGAUGAAGAACGCAGCGAAAUGCGAUACGUAAUGUGAAUUGCAAAUUCAGUGAAUCAUCGAGUCUUUGAACGCACAUUGCGCCCCCUGGUAUUCCGGGGGGCAUGCCUGUCCGAGCGUCAUUGCUGCCCUCAAGCCCGGCUUGUGUGUUGGGCCCCGUCCUCCGAUUCCGGGGGACGGGCCCGAAAGGCAGCGGCGGCACCGCGUCCGGUCCUCGAGCGUAUGGGGCUUUGUCACCCGCUCUGUAGGCCCGGCCGGCGCUUGCCGAUCAACCCAAAUUUUUAUCCAGGUUGACCUCGGAUCAGGUAGGGAUACCCGCUGAACUUAAGCAUAUCAAUAAGCGGAGGA
rnacentral:rRNA from 1 species